rnacentral:lncRNA from 1 species
CUUUAGGCCAUGAUGUGAUGAGGAGUGAGAAGAGCAAAAGGCAAGGCAUUCACUUUCUCCACUAUCUCCUCUCCAUUGCCAGGGAUCUUACAUGGGUCUUCAUUAUUCUGAAAACUCUUCUACCAUUAAUUCCAUUUGUGUCAUUUUCAAUAAAAAAUAUAAUUUCACAGUUACUGCUGAUUAACUCAUCCCCAGGAAAAAAAGACUACUUUUGCAACUGUAAGAGAAUAUUUAAAACUAUGUGGAAAGGAAUUUGUGUGUGUGAGAGUGUGUGUUGGGCAACAGGGAGAAUAUUCUUUUUAAUUUUUUUUUGCUGUUUGGACCUUUGUUGAGGCUCCUCUAUUGAGUACUAAUUUCUCUAAUAGUACUCAAACAGAGUCACUAAGUGUUGGGCUCUUAUGAAAAGUAGUCUUAGUGUCUGGUGGCCUACAUUUAUAGAUUAAACAAAAACCCUACAUUUUUUUCAUAGGUGCUUAUUUAUUAUCUCAUUAUCCUUCUAUGUCAAAUUAGCCAGAUCAGUUCCCAUGUAGAGAGUAUGGUUUACCUUAAAUUCUCUCAAAAAUAAGACUGGAUAUAAACAUGCAGACAAAAUACAAACAACAGGGAGUUUAAUAAAACAACUAGUGAAAUCAUUUCCAAGAAAUGAGAUUACUCUAAACUGAAAUCUUUAUUAAAAUGUUGAGGAAGAUAAAGUAUGCUUGAUUUACUUCAGCAAAACCUGCAAAAUGUAGCACUGCUAGGAAAAUGUUUAGUAGGUUUGUAUUAAUGCAGAUUUUGCCUUAUUUCAGGACAAGGGGAUAUGAUGAUGAUGAGAUUGGAAAGGGUGGAGAAGCAAUGUUGUAACUCUGAUCAUGAGCAAAAACAGUUCCAGAAUGUUGUGAUGGGUGUUGUUUAGCAUUUGCUUGGCAAAAUAACUCUCUUUACUUAGCAUUGCAAAAUCUGGACAAGGUCCAGCAAUCAUUUCACCACCAGAACCACCCUUAGAGAUAGGUGGUUUCUGACAAGGUGCCAUUUCAGAUAUAUUUGGAAAGUCCCUUUGUCUACACUGUCUCUUGCCUCUAUGCCAU